UACGUAGGUGGCAAGCGUUGUCCGGAAUUACUGGGUGUAAAGCGCGUGUAGGCGGCUAUGCAAGUCGGAUGUGAAAGCCCUCGGCUCAACCGGGGGAAGUGCACCCGAAACUGCAAAGCUAGAGUCUCGGAGAGGAUCGUGGAAUUCUCGGUGUAGAGGUGAAAUUCGUAGAUAUCGAGAGGAACACCAGUGGCGAAGGCGGCUCACUGGGCCGGACCUGACGCUGAGGCGCGAAAAGCGUGGGGGAGCGAUCCGG
rnacentral:rRNA from 1 species